rnacentral:rRNA from 1 species
AUUGAACGCUGGCGGCAUGCCUUACACAUGCAAGUCGAACGGCAGCACGGUUGCUUUCACCUGGUGUCGAGUGGCGAACGGGUGAGUAAUACAUCAGAACAUUUCCUUUAGUUUUGGAUAACCCUCCGGAAGCCGGGUUAAUACCCCAUACGAUCUACGUAUGAAAUCGCGGGACCUUCGAACCUCUCGCGGUCGGGGUUGCCGAUGGCUGAUUAGCUAGUGGCUGGGGUGAAGUCCUACCACGACGACGAUUAGGAGCUGGUCGGAGAGGAGGACCAGCCACACUGGGACGGAGCCACGGACAAGACUCCUACGGGAGGCCGCAGUGGGGAAUUUGGGACAAUGGGGGAAAGCCUGAUACAGCAAUGCCGAGUGUGUGACGAAGGCUUUCGGGUUGUAAAGACCGUCUGUCAGGAAAGAACUCCUUGGCCCUAAUACGGUCGGGGGAUGACGGUAACGGAAGAAUAAGCACCGGCUAACUACGUG